rnacentral:rRNA from 1 species
UACAGAGGUCUCGAGCGUUAGGCGGAAUCACUGGGCGUAAAGGGCGUGUAGGCGAGUAGAUAAGUCGGGCGUGAAAUCCCUAGGCUCAACCUAGGAACUGCACUCGAAACUGUUUAUCUUGAGUGCCGGAGAGGAAAGCGGAAUUCCUGGUGUAGAGGUGAAAUUCGUAGAUAUCAGGAGGAACACCAGUGGCGAAGGCGGCUUUCUGGACGGUAACUGAACGCUGAGACG